AUUGAACGCUGGCGGCAGGCCUAACACAUGCAAGUCGAGCGGAUGAAGGGAGCUUGCUCCUGGAUUCAGCGGCGGACGGGUGAGUAAUGCCUAGGAAUCUGCCUGGUAGUGGGGGAUAACGUCCGGAAACGGGCGCUAAUACCGCAUACGUCCUGAGGGAGAAAGUGGGGGAUCUUCGGACCUCACGCUAUCAGAUGAGCCUAGGUCGGAUUAGCUAGUUGGUGGGGUAAAGGCCUACCAAGGCGACGAUCCGUAACUGGUCUGAGAGGAUGAUCAGUCACACUGGAACUGAGACACGGUCCAGACUCCUACGGGAGGCAGCAGUGGGGAAUAUUGGACAAUGGGCGAAAGCCUGAUCCAGCCAUGCCGCGUGUGUGAAGAAGGCCUUCGGAUUGUAAAGCACGUUAAGUUGGGAGGAAGGGCAGUAAGUUAAUACCUUGCUGUUUUGACGUUACCAACAGAAUAAGCACCGGCUAACUUCGUG
rnacentral:rRNA from 1 species